GACGUAAAACUGCGUUUAGACGUAAAUCUGCGUUUAGACGUAAAUCUGCGUUUAGACGUAAAUCUGCGUUUAGACGUAAAUCUGAGUUUAGACGCAAAACUGCACUUAGACGCAAAACUGCGCUUAGAUGCAAAACUGCGCUUAGAUGCAAAACUGCGCUUAGACGCAAAACUGCGCUUAAACGCAAUCUGCGCUUAGACGCAAACUGCACUUAGAUACAAACUGAGAAUUUGCUUUUGCAUCAUAAUAGUUUUUGAACGAACGCAGCUUUUGGUUCUUAAUCGCUGUAAGAUUUCCGCUGCACUAAUUCACCCCCCCCCCUCUUAGUGCUCUCGAUCCUA
rnacentral:lncRNA from 1 species